AUGAAUUAUGUAUGUGUAAUUUUGCGAGGAAACCUAUUAUUUGUUUUCUUGUCUACACUUACUAGUGUGUGUGUUUUAUGUGUGGGAGCAAUUGAUUUUUCAAGAAACUUACAAUUAUGUCAUCCGCAGAGAGAAGAAAUAUUUACCCUUAGGAGUUCUUUUUUUUGGUGGUGCGGAUCACAUACAUUUAAUUCUUUGAGGAAGCCUAUUAUUUGUUUUCUUGCCCAUAUUUACUUGUUAUUUUUUUUUGGGAACAAUUGUUUUUCAUGCAACAUAAAAUUUGGUAGCCCUUCAAGACAUAGAACAAGAUAUGGAACCGUGAGGGAUGGGGAUGAUAAAAAAAUAGGGACACGAGGUUUUGAUGGUUAUCCUUGUGCUGCAACUUCUUCCUUGCUUUGUGGCACACAAGGAACACUCGCAAUUUACACAUAA
rnacentral:rRNA from 1 species